GACGAACGCUGGCGGCGUGCCUAACACAUGCAGGUCGAGCGAAUGAAGUUCCUUCGGGAACGGAUUUAGCGGCGGACGGGUGAGUAACACGUGGGCAACCUGCCUCAUAGAGGGGAAUAGCCUUCCGAAAGGGAGAUUAAUACCGCAUAAGAUUGUAGUACCGCAUGGUACAGCAAUUAAAGGAGCAAUCCGCUAUGAGAUGGGCCCGCGGCGCAUUAGCUAGUUGGUGAGGUAACGGCUCACCAAGGCGACGAUGCGUAGCCGACCUGAGAGGGUGAUCGGCCACAUUGGGACUGAGACACGGCCCAGACUCCUACGGGAGGCAGCAGUGGGGAAUAUUGCACAAUGGGGGAAACCCUGAUGCAGCAACGCCGCGUGAGUGAUGACGGCCUUCGGGUUGUAAAGCUCUGUCUUCAGGGACGAUAAUGACGGUACCUGAGGAGGAAGCCACGGCUAACUACGUG
rnacentral:rRNA from 1 species